CAAUUUUUUAAUGAAUAAUUUUUUCUACUCUCAUUUUUUGUGAAAGUAUUUUCUAUACUAGAAAACAACAUAGAGGAGUAAUAUUAAACAAGAAAGUAUUGAUCGGGAUCGUCAGGCUUCUGCUCCACCGUAGUGCGUGUUUCUCCCUUUCCUUUCGCAUGAAUUAGCUAUUCCUCCCCCCUGAGAUUAAGAUGUCCAGUGAGUCCUCUCGGGCUGUCUCCCCUAUUCACAGCUAAAUUGGGCCCCCACGGCUGGAACCUCCAGACGAGGCGAACUUUGAACUAAAUCUGGAUGCAGAGACUGAAGACCUGCUAGAUUCAAAAGCCAACUUGACCCUUGUUGGGAAGAUCUUAGAUGGAAAGCCCUUCCGUCAGCAAGCGGUGAAUGAUGCUCUCGUCUCGGUGUGGCAUCUCGUCGGUGAAGUCCAUAUUACAUAGAAUCUCCAUGUGCCAUCGAAAAAACUUACUAUUGAUACUUUUGUGUGUACUUUCAUUGAUCUUCGCAUUGGUGUGAAAUAUUGAUCGGGAUCCUCAGGCUUUCGCUCUGCCGUAGUGCGUGUUUCUCUUCCGCCGUAGUGCGUGUUUCUCCCUUUCCUUUCGCCUGAAUUAGCUAUUCCUCCCCCCUGAGAUUAAGAUGUCCGGAGAUCCUCUCGGGCUCUCUCCCCUAUUCACAGCCAAACUGAGCCCCCACAGCCGGAACCUCCAGACGAGGCAGACUUUGAACUAAAUCCGGAUGCAGAGACUGAAGACCUGCUGGAUUCACAAGCCAACUUGACCCUUGUUGGGAAGAUCUUGGAUGGAAAGCCUUUCCAUCAGCAAGCGGUGAAUGAUGCUCUCGUCUCGGCAUGGCAUCUCCUUGGUGAAGUCCAUAUUACGCCGGUGGCCUCUCACAAAUUCAUCUUCCACUUCAGUCACCCUUUGGAUGUUAAGAAUGUCCUAGAAGGCAGCCCAUGGUCGGUGUCUGGGAACCUGCUAGUCCUAGAGUGGUGGAAUCCCAUAGGGGAUUGGACAUUCCAGUUUACUGAGUUUUGGACCCAACUACACGGCAUUCCUACAGAUCUUAUUCACCCUGAUUUGGGAUUUCAGUUGGGAUCAAAGAUCAGGGUUACCAGUUGUGUUACGAUUAUCCAAGGCUCCCGCAUCGCAGGGCCUCUUCCAUUCCUGCGCAGCCGCAUCUCUCUGGACCUCAAUAAACCUCUAAAACCUCGGUUGCAGAUUAAUCACAGGAAUGGUGUACAAAUCCCUAUUGAAGUCAAAUUAGAUUGAUUGCCCAUAUACUAUUACUUCUGUGGCCAUAUCAGACAUGAGGAAAGAAGAUGCGAAGCUUGGUUCUUAGAACAUAAGAAACAUAAGCGAUCCCACGGCUGUGACUCGUCAGAGGUUUGCCCUGAAGCUCCUCAAUCUCUAUUUGCUAGUUUUCUUCAGAAUCCCAGCCCUGAACCCCGCCUUAUGGAAGCCGCUCGGACUAUCAGAGACCCCCCCGCUCUACUCCCCAGGGCCAGACUGAACUGCACUCCAUGCCAUCCCGUCUCAACAGUGCCGAUGUCGGAGAAGAAGCCUAUACCCCCAUCCAUCAACAGGACCGUACACGCGUGCCUGUGUCCGAACCAACCCAUCCACGUGGCGACACCCUAUAUGCUACUUCACUGUCCCCCUCUCAGUCUCUCGGUCACCAUAUCCCUCACUCCCAGGCCACUGCCACUGCACAUCCUAGCUUUGUCUUUCCCAUAACGGUCCACUGAUUAGAGAAACAGACUCUCUGCCACCUCAUCAUUCUUUCACCCAUCCUGCACCCCACAUUAUUGCCGAGGAUCCUUCUCAUCAAAUCCUCUCUACCCUCCAAGCUCACAUACAGAAUUAUCCUGAUCAGCGACACCUCUUAUCUAAUAUCCUUCCUCUACUCUCGGGAAUCCGCAUCUCCAACCCUUAUAUGGACCCAGUUACUGUCUUGACCCGCCAACUGAUGGAAAACCACAAAACCUCUAUAACCCAGCACCUUUACUCACGUUCUACCCUCUCCCUGAAGUCCUGAACCAUGUCCUAAUACCGCCUCCUCCAACUCUAUUUUGAGUUUAGACAAGAAUUCUUAUCCCCACAAUACUCCUCCUUUACCGUUGCACCACCCCUCCAUUAACCCUCCAGCUGAGAACCUCCCUUCCCCUACUAUUGACCAACAGCCACACCUACCUGAUCUAUAUAUUCUGAUAACCGUUUCGCCGGCACCCUCUCACCAUGUUUCAAGAAAAAAGAAGAUGACACAAGGGGAAGAACAUGCUCCUGGCCAUUCACACAAUCUGAGACCCACAAAACCGAGGAUCUUCAGUCUCAAGCCAAAAGGGUGAAGCAAACACAAUCAAAGGCAGCUGCUCGCAUCAUGUUAGAGUCUCUAUCUACUGAAGAUUUUUUAAUGGAUGGCCCCUCGGCUGCUGGGGGAAAUCAGCACCACCCGGAGUUAUGAGAAUAAUUUUAUGGAACAGUCAGGGUUUGGGAAAGCCCCUAAGAGUCCGUUCUCUCCAGUAUCUUUCCUAGUCUACUCGCCCAGAUUUAAUAUUCCUUAUGGAGACUCGUUGCAUGCGAAGAAGAUUAAUCAUAUUGCCCAGUGCAUUAAGUUACCACCAUACUUCUCGAUGCCGCUGAUCAACACGAGAGGUGGUCUGACUCUGUUUUGGGAUGCCAAUUCGGUGGUGGAGAUUCUUCAUAAAGACCAGUAUUUCAUUGAUUCCCAGGCAUAUUAUAUGGGAUAAAAUUUUGGGUUUGUCUUCAAACCGUAAUGAAAAUUGGCUAUGCUUGGGUGAUUUCAAUUCCUUCUUAUCCUGAUUCCUGGCACGAAAAGAUAGGGGGCUCUUCUAGGGGCGGAAGGGACAUGUUGCAAUUCAGAGAUUUCAUUGAUGCUUGUGGGCUUAUUGAUAUUGGCUCUUAUGGCCAGCAUACACUUGGAAUAACCGGAGAGGGGGGUCCUCUAACAUCAGAAUUAAGCUUGACCGCGCCCUUUCCAAUCUCUCUUGGAGAACUGCCUUUGCCGAGGCUAUUGUUUCUGUCCGGACACUCUCUGGUUCUGAUCGUCUUCCAAUAGUUGUUGAUACGGAGGGAGGAAAGUCAUCGGGAGCUCGUCCUUUUCGCUUUAAAAAUAUGUGGUUCACUCACCCAGAUUGUAAGAAAAUGGCAGCUAAAGCGUGGUCCCUUCCUUGUAUGGCCAGAGCUUAUGAUACUCCCUUCAACAAAGGCCAAAAUUGCAAAACAACUCGUACAAAAUGGAACAGGGAGGAAUUCGGGAACGUCAAGCUGAAAAUAGAAGGAUAUCUUCGCGACCUUGAGCUUCUCUAUGAUCAGCCAUCUGAGAGAUCCCAAUUUAAGGAGAAGGAAAUUGAAAAUCUUCUGAAUAUUGAGCUGGAAAGAGAGGAAUUAUUGUGGCAGCAGAAAUCCAGAACGCAAUGGCUUCAAAGUGGGGACCGAAAUACUAAGUUCUUUCAGGCCGUUACCCUCCAAAGAAGAAUUAGAAAUAAAAUUCUUAAGCUCCGUGGGCAUCGGGUGAGUGGGCUAACUCAGAGAAGGAAAUCAGUUCAGAAGUGCUCAACCGUUACAAGGAUAUUUUUACCUGGGAAGAUGUUGAUCAGGACGCCCUUAAUAUUGUUACUCAAGCUAUUAAGCCAGUGGUCACUGAUGCGAUGAAUGAGGACCUCUGUAGAGCUCCUAGCUUAGAGGAAAUUGAUCAAGCUCUCAGAGAUAUGGCCCCCUCUAAAGUCUCCUGGCCCUGACGGCCUCCCUCCAGCAUUCUUUCAGUGGAAUUGGGAUAUUGUUCAAGAUGAUGUGGUGCGGUUUGUUCAGGAAUUUUUUGUAAAAAGACACUCUCCUCCAACCUAAACACCACUCACAUCUACCUUAUUCCGAAAAUUAAUCAACCUGAGAAGGUGGAUAAAUAUAGACCGAUAGUUAAAGUGGUCACAAAAGUCUUUGCUACCCGGCUGAAACUGAUAUUGGAUUACAUCAUUGCUGCCUCUUAAUCCGCCUUUACUCCCGGUCGCCUAAUUUCGGACAAUGUCUUAUUGGUUCAUGAAUUAUUCCACUACAUCCGAAAGAAAAAGAAAGGGAAGAAAAUGCUGGUUGCCCUCAAGCUAGACAUGUCCAAGGCAUAUGGUCGCCUCGAAUGGCCCUUCGUGGAAAAGAUCCUACUUCGUUUGGGGUUCAGCGACAGAUGGGUCUCACUAGUUAUGUCAUGCAUCACCUCUGUUUCUUAUGGCAUUCUGGUUAAUGGAGCAGUUUGAGGUAAUAUUACUCCUUCGAGGGGUAUUUACCAAGGUGACCCUCUCUCACUGGCCAUAUUCGUCUUCUGUUCACCGGCUUUGAGCUUCCUUCUUCCUGUGGCUGAAGGUGAGGGCCUCAUCCAUGGCAUUAAAGUCCGAAAUCGACCUGCUCCACUCACCCAUCUUCUUUUUGCUAACGACAGCCUUCUAUUCUCUGAAGUUAAGCCGCAGGAAAUCCAUAACUUGAAGGACUGCCUCGAUCUUUACAGUAGGGCUAGCGGCCAACAAAUUAAUUGCCAGAAGUCUUCCCUCACCUUUAGUCCCAACACCAUUCCUCGCUUUAAGAGGUGGUUUUCAUUCUUAAGAUGCCAUAUGGAGAGGGACCGAAAAAAUAUUUGGGGUUGCCUACAAAGUUUGGUACAUCAAAGGUUGAGCUCUUUAAGGAAAUCAAGGACAAAACUUUGGGACGAAUACAGGGCUGGAAGCAAAAAUUAUUGUCCCAUGCUGGGAGGGAGGUGAUGAUCAAGUUAGUUUCCCUCUCUAUGAACACCUUUGCUUCAUCCCACUUCAAGUUACCUGCCUCGCAUCACUCUAAGCUCAGGAAUGCUUCCACUCACUUCUUUUGGGGAGAGUCCGGGGAGAAAAAUAACAUAUGUUGCAUUUCUUGGAAGCGGCUUUGUAGAUCUAAGGAGAAAGGGGGCCUUGGUUUUAGAGACUUAACAAUUCAGAAUAAGGCUCUCCUUGGGAAACUAGUGUGGCGCUUAUGGUGUUUCCUUAAUUCUCAUUGGGCCAUCCAUAUGAAGCAGAUUUAUUAUCCACAUGGGGAGUUUAUGGAGGCUCAGUUAGGCUCAAAUCCGUCUUGGGAAUAGAGAGGAAUCAUCGAGGGAAGGAAGGUGCUAAUUGAUGGUCUCAUAUAGGUUGUUGGUGAUGGGGCAAGCAUCAAGGUGUGGGAGGAUGCCUAGAUCCCCUUCACACCCAACCAUAGACCUCAGCAUACUUACUUGUACACUAACAGAGAGCUUCUGGUUUCGGAGCUUAUAGACCAUAAUAACCGCUCUUGGAAAUGUGAAGUCCUAGACUCAAUUUUCCACCCAGAUGACAAAGCCGCUAUUAUGAAGAUUAAUCUCAACCUGUUUCCCCAAUCAGAUUCAAGAAUUUGGAGUGUCCCUAAGGAUGGUAUCUAUUUGGGUAAGGCGGGGUAUCACUUUUUAUGCAACCAAGAGGACAGCAAGAGAAGAGCUUCAUCCGCCUCCUCUUCAAAUCAUCUCACUCACCAUAUCCCAGAUAAGAUUUGGAAACAAAUCUGGUCGUUCGCUCAACUCCAAAAUCAGGAACUUCUUAUUGGCAUGCUUGCUCUGGUGGGAUUGCUUCAGGUGCUCGAUUAAAGAAGCGAAACUUUAACAUUGACCCUGCCUGUCAUCGUUGUGGAGCCCCCUCAGAGACGGAGGAUCAUAUUUUACUUAACUGCCCUUUUUCCAGAGCAGUCUGGUUUGGCGCAAACCUAUCAUUCUCUCCUCCACAGUAGCUUCCCCAACUUAAGGACUUUAUUAGUGCAUGGGAUAGCCUACAGCCGUCCAAUAAAUAGCUGAACAGGGGACGUAGCGACUUCGGCAUCUUUCUUUUGUUGGGCAUUAUGGCUUAGUAGAAACUGCCUAUUGUUUAAGUGUGAGAAUCAAUCCCCUAUAGACGUAGUCCAAUAUGCUAAACGACAGAUCGAGGAAUUUCAACAAGCAACCACACCUCAGAGGAAGAAUGCAAGGAACCCCGUGGGAGGUAGGGAGCAAACGGGCUAGACCUUCCCCCUUCUCCUUUCUACAAGUUGAAUGUGAAUUUCUCAGCUCGUGGAGAGAAAGGGGGGCUGGGCUUCAUCAUUUGGGACACAGUUGGAGCCCAGACUCUGUCAGUCUCGGUGCCUGUGACUAUAAAUUCUCCUCUGCAGGGUGAAGCCUUAGCCAUGCGGACUGGACUCCUUCAUGCAAUCCUGGAAUGCAUUGAUGAUUUGGAAGCUGAGACCGAUUGUAGUGAGCUGUUUGGCUUUUAACCCAGCCGCUGUCAAACCCACCUCUUGAGACACUUCACUUGGUUAGGGACAUUCAGCACUUAGCCUCCUAUUUCAGAAAAUAUAUUUUCCUUCACACUUUCAGGGAGAUUAACAGUGUCGCUGACUCUUUGGCUAGGAA